AGAAAUAACGGGAUGGUUAGUAACGUUAGUAAUGGUCAGGGAUGGUGGUGGUAGAGGCAGAGUCAGGCAGAGUUGCCGGGAAAAGAAAUGUGAAUGUCCGUUAUGAUAAGUAAAGGAAGCUGUAAAAUGAAAGAAGUUGAUUAAUACAGUAAUAUAAAGAUAUGCGUACCGCGCACUGCGUACCAUGUGACUGAGUCGCGAUCACAUGACAAUCAACCUAGCAGCUAUAGUGGGGACCACGAUUUAAGAUCACGUCAGAUCACGUGUUAAGAUAAACUUUUAAGCUAAUAGUAAUACCAGAUUAAUUUCUUCUAUAAUAAAAGUUUAUUUCAUAUACA